rnacentral:rRNA from 1 species
AACGGCGAGUGAAGCGGCAACAGCUCAAAUUUGAAAUCUGGCUCUCGGGCCCGAGUUGUAAUUUGUAGAGGAUACUUUUGAUGCGGUGCCUUCCGAGUUCCCUGGAACGGGACGCCAUAGAGGGUGAGAGCCCCGUCUGGUUGGAUGCCAAAUCUCUGUAAAGUUCCUUCGACGAGUCGAGUAGUUUGGGAAUGCUGCUCUAAAUGGGAGGUAUAUGUCUUCUAAAGCUAAAUAUUGGCCAGAGACCGAUAGCGCACAAGUAGAGUGAUCGAAAGAUGAAAAGCACUUUGAAAAGAGAGUUAAAAAGUACGUGAAAUUGUUGAAAGGGAAGCGUUUAUGACCAGACUUGGACUUGGUUAAUCAUCUGGGGUUCUCCCCAGUGCACUUCUCCAGUUCAGGCCAGCAUCAGUUUUCGCCGGGGGAUAAAGGCAGCGGGAAUGUGGCUCUCUUCGGGGAGUGUUAUAGCCCGUUGUGUAAUACCCUGGUGGGGACUGAGGUUCGCGCUUCUGCAAGGAUGCUGGCGUAAUGGUCAUCAACGACCCGUCUUGAAACACGGACCAAGGAGUCGUCUUCGUAUGCGAGUGUUCGGGUGUCAAACCCCUACGCGUAAUGAAAGUGAACGCAGGUGAGAGCUUCGGCGCAUCAUCGACCGAUCCUGAUGUUCUCGGAUGGAUUUGAGUAAGAGCAUACGGGGCCGGACCCGAAAGAAGGUGAACUAUGCCUGUAUAGGGUGAAGCCAGAGGAAACUCUGGUGGAGGCUCGCAGCGGUUCUGACGUGCAAAUCGAUCGUCAAAUAUGGGCAUGGGGGCGAAAGACUAAUCGAACCUUCUAGUAGCUGGUUUCCGCCGAA